GUGUUGUAUGAAAGGAGAGAAGGGUAGCACUCCCCUGGACAAGGAUGGAAGAGGCCCUCGGGCCUGACAACACACAUGUGGUUGAGGCAUUGUCACCUACUUUGUGGCCUUUAACCAUCAUUUAAA
ensembl:snRNA